CCUACGGGGGGCAGCAGUGGGGAAUAUUGGACAAUGGGGGCAACCCUGAUCCAGCCAUGCCGCGUGUGUGAAGAAGGCCCUCGGGUUGUAAAGCACUUUCAGUGAGGAAGAACGCCUGGUGGUUAAUACCCAUCAGGAAAGACAUCACUCACAGAAGAAGCACCGGCUAACUCCGUGCCAGCAGCCGCGGUAAUACGUAGGGUGCGAGCGUUAAUCGGAAUUACUGGGCGUAAAGCGCGCGUAGGUGGCUUGAUAAGCCGGUUGUGAAAGCCCCGGGCUCAACCUGGGAACGGCAUCCGGAACUGUCAAGCUAGAGUGCAGGAGAGGAAGGUAGAAUUCCCGGUGUAGCGGUGAAAUGCGUAGAGAUCGGGAGGAAUACCAGUGGCGAAGGCGGCCUUCUGGACUGACACUGACACUGAGGUGCGAAAGCGUGGGUAGCAAACAGGAUUAGAUACCCGUGUAGUC
rnacentral:rRNA from 1 species